rnacentral:miRNA from 14 species
CUUGUCUAAAAAUGCGGAUUCUUGGGCUCUAUCUCAGGCCUUUGGAAUCAGAAUCCCUGGCAGUGGUGCCCAGGAAUCUGCAUUUUAAC